ACAUUGGUGGUUCAGUGGUAGAAUUCUUGACUUCUGUGCAGGAGGCGCAGGUUUGAUUCCUGGCCAUUACA
rnacentral:tRNA from 1 species